AUUUGGCUGUGUAGGAUUCUUGAACUCUGUUAUGCAUUUUGAUUUAGCUCAUUGUAUGGUUUGAUAUAAGAUGGACACGCUUGUGUAUCCAUUACGUGUAUCCAUGAGCGGGCCCACCUUAUCAAGACAUAAGGAACAUUUCUACCUGAUGGAACAGCUUUACAGAUUCAGUAGAUUCUGAGCUUAAGUGUUUUAGAGGAUUUCCGAAUCACCUCUUGCGACACAAGCAGUCCAGGUGGUGACAGCUACGGUGCCGCAUCCCAAAGCCAGUACACCAAAGAAGAUGUUCUUACCAGAGCCUAGACUAGACGCAAUAUCUUCAUGCAGCUUUAAAUGAACAGUUCCAAUGUUCCAUUUUCUAAGGGCGGAGGUGAAGAAUAUUAGUCGAGACACGCGUGUAAUACUUGUACGAAAGUGAAGAAUAUUAGUCGAGACCGACGUGUAAUACUUGUAAUUACAGUUUCCGUUCACUUCACCACCACCAUUACUCUCACUUCAACUCUGAUUAUCAUCAA